rnacentral:lncRNA from 1 species
AGACCGCUCGUAGUAGAAGUUCGGAGUGGACCGCUCGUAGUAGAAGUUCGGCUCUCUCGGGAGCUCGGGUGGAGUCUGGAAGGCGGUCGACUACCGUAGCAACUUGGAUGAAGUCUGGUUACUGUAGAAAUCUUCGUUGUCGGAGAAGCUCGGAUAUUGAUGAAGUUCAGAAGAAGUUCGGAGUAGGGUCGUCCGCGGCC